UCCUCUUUACUUGCUUGCUCAAUGCGCCUCUAUUACAAUUUGUCGAUUAUGAACCAUUAGAAUGUGUUGAUGUAGAACCAUACAGUUCACUUUCUCAUUUUUCAACCUCCAUAUUUGACAAAAUUUCAUUAGGACAACCUUCCAUAAUCCUUGGAACCUUCCUUGAUUCAGGGAAGGGCUUUUCUUGUGCCAUAUGAAGAGAAAGGGAAAGCAAAACUCUUUUCUUUUUUGUGAUUCGAGUAAUCUACUUACAUUUCAACUAAUCUUAGCAUAUUCGAUGAAAAUAGAAAAAUUGCAUUAGAUAACAAAAAAAGUUUAGAAAAAAAACUAAUUAGUAAUAUCAAAUGAUUAUUUGAGAGUUAUUGGAGGACUAUUAGAAGUAUCGUGCUAUUAGAGGGUAGUCAACUUUUAACUUGGCCACUUUUGCAAUUUAUCAAUUUAGAAAAUGUGGUGACAUCAGUUCUAUUAUCGUAAAUUUUUUUAACUGAUUCAUGAAUGAAAUAAUGGUAAAUCUGCUGCCAUUUUGACCACCGGAUGGAACCACAGGAGGACGUUCUAUAUGAUGACUUCAUAUUCAAUUUAUUCACAUCAUGAUUUUGCUCUCUUUUCUACUGCAUGUUGAGCUUCUCUCUCCUGAGGAGAGCUUUCUUCUAUUUCUAUGUUGUUUUGUAUAUCCUUUCGAGUUCUUAAACUUCUCACCUCCCACUGUGUUUCCAUCUGCUUCACUCCUUAUGAAUAUGUAUCUCUCUAGAUAUUUGUUGCAUGCAUCUACUUCUUUUGGUCUGUCGUUGAUGUUAAUCACCACGAUGGCCAUAAAUUUGCUUAUUAAGAUAACUAAUGCAUGCCCCUUCAAUGAUAUGAUAUGAAAUAGAUUCCACGUUAAAACAAACCAAUGGAGACUAUCUUCCAACUUCUAAUCAAUCCAAGGCCCUAUCUGCAAUCUCAGCCAUUUUUGAGAUACUAGUGAUUUGGUUUGCGUCACUCUUGAGCACCAAUACCUACUAGCAUAUCUGGACUACGUCACCUACCAAAAAUAUUCCACAACCAUCAAUACGCUUAACCAUCGCUGCAGUGCCAUAUCCUUGUCGUAGUCAGCUGGUUGCCUCUGCUUUCUGCUAUUGAAAACUUUGAAUCCAUCCAUUACCUUGUGGAUUCCACACAUUUGCAGGUGGAAAAACAAUUCACAAUCUCAAUUUGCUGGCCGAUUUGAACCCUUGGUCUUUAAUGAGGCCAGCCAAUCGAAGUUUAUAUAGACAUUCCUUCAUUCCAUAGCCGCGUCAACCAACUGCUAGCUUUAUGAGUUAUCCCUGUGUUUUUCUCCCCUCCUCAUAUGCUCAAUAUAUAUCAAGCAAGGGAAACAAUGGGAACCAUUUCUGCUUUGACCUUUCAAGAAUCAGCACGUUUUUAGGCAUCAUCUUCCAUUUGGUUCUAGACAUUUCGGUGGCAAUGUUUCCUCUCUACCAAGUCUCCAACUCAUCUAUAUUAAAUAAACGAUUCAUAUCUGUUUACAUUAUAAAGAAUGAAGUAUGCUGGCCAUUGUAAAGACAUUAAACUUGUUUAACACAUGCACACGGGUAGAGAAGUUGAUGAAUCUCCUACCAUCGACUUCAGUCAUUUUUUAUUAUUUAACUCUUAAAUGAUGAGAUAUAAGCUUGAUUA